rnacentral:rRNA from 1 species
CGGGUGGUAAUGCCGGAUGCUCCAGUUGACCGCAUGGUCCUCUGGGAAAGCUUUUGCGGUAUGGGAUGGGGUCGCGUCCUAUCAGCUUGAUGGCGGGGUAACGGCCCACCAUGGCUUCGACGGGUAGCCGGCCUGAGAGGGCGACCGGCCACAUUGGGACUGAGAUACGGCCCAGACUCCUACGGGAGGCAGCAGUGGGGAAUAUUGCACAAUGGGCGCAAGCCUGAUGCAGCGACGCCGCGUGCGGGAUGACGGCCUUCGGGUUGUAAACCGCUUUUGACUGGGAGCAAGCCCUUCGGGGUGAGUGUACCUUUCGAAUAAGCACCGGCUAACUACGUGCCAGCAGCCGCGGUAAUACGUAGGGUGCAAGCGUUAUCCGGAAUUAUUGGGCGUAAAGGGCUCGUAGGCGGUUCGUCGCGUCCGGUGUGAAAGUCCAUCGCUUAACGGUGGAUCCGCGCCGGGUACGGGCGGGCUUGAGUGCGGUAGGGGAGACUGGAAUUCCCGGUGUAACGGUGGAAUGUGUAGAUAUCGGAAAAGAACACCA